CCAAAUUUAUGCGAGGGACACUCUUGAUAUAAUGAUAAACAGUAAAACACAGGCCAGAGACAUAUUGUUAGACAAGAGAAGCAACAGCAUAUUUAUUGGUACAUCCAAGCAUCACAAAUUCUGAAAUCCCAAAGAUUAGAGUACUCUGACUAAAUGGUUUUCUUACAAACUGUUCUUUCUACUUAAAUUGAAUGCUUCCCUGUCCCUACUGUAUCAAAUAUGUAACAAUGAGGAGGGAGUCAUUUCUCUAUUUUACACUUCAAUGGGCAACAGAAACUGUAAACAUGUGAUGGUCCUCUGAAAGCCCAUUUCAGGUAGACUGUGGCUGGUCUCUUAGGAAAAGUGCAGCUUAAUUGGUGUGUACAUUGUGGACAGCUUUACAUCACAAACCUUCAGUUUAAAAUUGUUCUCACGAUCCAAACAGCACCAGUGUGUUGUUGUUUUUCUCUUCUGGUGUUAAAUCUUUAGGAAACAUAUAUUUAUUUUUAUCAACACACAAAAUCCAAAAUAAUGAAAAGCAAAGAAAACAAAAACAAAGAAAUCCCAAAACAUUCAAAAUAGGUUUGUUUUUGUUUUUAGAGUAACAACAUUUAGGGAAAAAAAUCCCCAACAUUUAAACUUUUAAUCUAAUCUAUGUACAAUAUGCCAAAAGCUAGCACAAAGCCAAUGAACAGUCAUUUUUAGGUUUCUUAACCUGAAUCUUUACAGGCUUUAUUUACAGUUGGAUAUCCAGAAAAGUAAUCAUCAGAACAGUUGAAUUUGGCUAAAAAUCAUAUAAAAAGACACCCCCUCCCCCCAUACCUUCUAAAUAUAUAGCAAAUAUAUCCAGUAUAACCCAAAGUAUCAGGUUUGGAAGCUCUUUUCUCAUAUUUUAAAAAGUGAAUUGUGAAAUGAAACAGCAGUCACAGAUGGCUGAGAAACUGUCUUUCGAGACACAAAGCAGGGUCAGGAUUGCAAAGAAAUUGAACAGUCUGUGUGUCCUAUUAAUGGGCAAACGAAGAAGAGUAUUUUUCACACUAAGCAACACAGACAAGUUCUGAUAAAGGAGCAAAUGGAAAAAUGUUAGCGAAAAGACUAGAAGUACAAGUACAAUUGGAUGAGGAGAGGGGCAUGUGAUCCAUAAAAAUUCCAAAACAAAGGAAAAUGUCUCCAUGCUAAUUUUUUUUUUUUUUUUAACAAUCAAUGGUUUGCUUUAAAGAAGAAAAUAUUUCCAUGUUAUUCAUUUGAAAUUAUAUAACCCAAAUCUUUUAGACACCCCCCCCCCACCCUCACCCUUGGACUUAAAAAACAUACAUACACACAUACAUACACACACAUACAGAGGAAGAAAACAUCUAUUGCAUUCAUAUUGCAGCUAUCCUAUGCAAGUACCUACAAACUGUAUACAGUUUGGAGUCCCGAGUUAUCACACUUGUUAAAGAAAGAAUAUACACUUACUAUAGCCAGCAUUUUGCUCCAUGGGUAAAAUAGAAAACACUUGUCAUUUCUCCACUAAAAUGGAUGGACUUGUAUAUUACAUAAAGAUGAUAGUCUGAAGUUAAAUGCACUGUGACUAAAAAAAGCACAUUAGCUCAAAAAACUAGAUAGAUGGGCACCUAACCUUCCCGGUGAGGACAUGCAGUCAAAGUUUUUAUGUAACAUUUGCAAUAAUGAUAAACAUCUAUGGGGAACAAAAAGCUUACUUGGACUCCAUACAAAAUACAUGUUAAUUGAUGAAAAGUAUGAAAAUGCAUAGCUUGGAACUGUUUACAUUCAUUCACUAAUAUUAAAGACUUUUGUAAGCAAGUUCUUCACCAUCACUUUCCCCAUCACAUUGUAUUUCUAACGAUCUAAUCAUCUAACUUCAAAAUCCGUGCCUAAUUAAAAAGAAAGUGUCACUUUAAUGAUAAUAGGAAGAUUGGUUACUUUCCCUUUUUUCUUUUUACUCUUUGUUCUUUAUGACAUAGAUAUCUCCCCCAAACCUAGGCUUUCUUGGCCAGCAUUUCUAUCUAUUAUGUAUCCCAUUCUAAAAACAAAUAAUAAUUUUGUUAUAUUGUUGGUUUUGGAUUUGGUGUUUGAAAUUAGUUUAAAAAAUGGCUUGAUUUUCAGGAGCAGAGUUUUUUAAACCUCAAUAUGGGCUGGGUGCAGGUGAGAUUUGCCGUAGUAGUUAUGUCCUCCCACCCACCCACCCCCAUCUGAAAAAUGCUACUGAUUUUUUCUCAGUAGUUGCAUUUAAUAGUGCUCAUGAACCCUUUGGGACCUAGCAAAUUUCUUCUUAUCCUGAGCUCUUCUAAAAAGUCUAUUGGGUUACUGAUACAGUUAACGUGCUGGAAACUGCACCAGGACCUGGUUACUCAAUAUAGAAUAUGUCUAAAUGGUAGAAUAUUUUCUAACCACUUAAUGUAGAAAAAUAGGAAAGUUAGGGCAUAUCAAGAAAUUUCUGUUGCAAGGAAACGUUUAGUAAUGAAUAGUAUAGUUUAAAUAGCUAACAUAUAAUCCAAUCCCUAUAUUAUUUUAAGUCUAGGGUAUUUUCAGUGAUUGAAGACACUAAAUAGGAAUAUUUCCAGGGUGCUGAGCUCUUGAGUUUUACCUACCUUAGUCCCUAAAAAUCCAUAUUGUGUUGCUAAGUCUCUUCUAAAGCUCUCCAACAGCAGCUGAAGGGGGUUUCCCAAAAUAUUCUGUGAAUACACUAACAAGGUCUUUUUCUUACCCAGACAUCGAUAAAAGUCAGAACCAUCAAUAUUCAAGAAGCUAAAGAAUGUUUUAAGAUACCAACAAGAGUCUGAUUUACAAGUCAUACUUUUCAUCCUGAAUUUGCGGAAAUCCUGUCAUUAGAUAAUGCUGAUAUCCUGGAGGGGAUAUUUCUUAACAUGAAUUCAGACAGCAGCAAACUGGGGCUGGGGGCAAUAUCUCCUUCUACAACGUUGUAAUCCAUGUUAGGCUUAGCCAGAACAUUUCAUAUUUUGAUUUCCAAUGUAGGAGAAAGUUUUUGCAGCCUUGUAGAGGUGUUUAAAAAUGUUUUGGGGGUCACAACUGCCUUCUCCUUUCAUGAUGAUUAAAUUAAAGUGAUUAUACUGGAGAAGACAUUGCUUAUUCAAAUAAUCAGGGCUAGUCCAUUUUCUUAUGCAAUGGAGAGAUUAAAUAUGAAGUGGUCUUUGUAAAUGUGGGUCUCCAUAAGAUCUUUGUUCUGGAAUAAAAGUCAUUGGUUCUGAUUGCUAAUAUUUAAUUUUUCCCUACAACCAUGCUAUUGAUAGUACUGGGCAAUUAAUGCAACAGUUAUUAAAUCCAAAAAGAUUAUCUUGCUUUUGCCAGCUAUCAGAGCUCAAACAGACAUUUCUGUGGUGAAUAAUGCAGGUUGUGCGUUCACCGAGCUGUUCUCUGAUCAUCUAAGCUUUUCAGACAGAUGGAAAUUUCUCCCUGAAGGAAGGUGGUGAUCAGGUAUGGGACCUGCCUUGCCAGCCACAAUGAAUUUAUCCCCCAAUGGACCUUUUCUUGACCCAGAAGUAUAAAUCAGCUGCAUAACAGCAGCAGCAGCAAGAUGCUCCUAGACUGCUGCCGUCCUGUGCAAACGCGGCCCUAUGGUUGUAUUCUUUUGAUAAAUAGCUUACACAUCAACAUUUCAUUGUAAGUUAGGCUGUUCAAUUAAUCAGACUGAGUCACUCAAAAGACAGAAAAUAUUCAAGUGGUUGCUAAGAAAAUAUAUCCCUUCAAACUCUACAUUUCCCAUUGUCUAGGAAACAGGUAAACUGAGGCCAAGAACUAGGUGAUGGAUAAUCCUUUUCUUUCUUUAGCUCACUCACCACUUCUAAGGUGGUGUUGGUCCUGCCUUUAAAAAAUAAACAGUGAUAGAGAAAAGACAACUUAAACAAAAGGUAAGAAUUAGCCCUCAGAAAUCUUAUCAAAAGAAAGGAAGAUAUCCUCUUAACAGAUAAACCUUUUCACCUUCUCCCUGAGCUGCUAUAUCUAUUCAUUAAUUUUCUGAAUAAAAUAGAAUGGCUGCUGGGAAUCAAAUGCAAUAGUUAGACUUAAGAAUUUUGUGCAGCAUUUUUUGAUAGCAUUAAUAAAGGGGCCACUCUUUGGAACAUACUUAGUAACUAUGCCUAUGGUGCUAAACCUGAUAGAACUUGUAAAAAAAAAAAAAAAAAAAAAGAAAGAAAGCAGUAGAAUGUAAUCAUCUGUCUUCUUUCAAAAGCCUGCAGCUUCCUAUUUGUCACUGGAAAGUUCUCUAAACUGGAUACCUAGUAAAUUUAGCUUUCUAUCCUGAAAUCACUCUUUAUUCAGGCUUGUCUAAGAGUUUGAGUUCAGACCACAAGUAAAGCAUUCGCACCUUCUCCAUUCUACAGUAGGUUGGUAAGUAUUUAUUUGACAAUUGACUCUAAGAAUGAACAUACGACACACUUUUUAAGCUUAAUUUUCAUUAGUAACAUUUUCUUAAAUACUUUCUUAAGUCUAAAUGACCAACAAAAUAAGUCAAGUUCUGACUUGCAGUGUUUGUCAAUCUCAUACUAAAAAUUUUAAAAUCAGCUUUCACAAGCUGCUCCAAAUUAGCUCUAUCAACUAAUUUUUAUACCAUCUUAGAAGAUUUAUUUCAUUUCUUUUGUAAUCUGAAUUAGUUCUGAAGCUGAUCCCCAGGCUCAUCUCAGCAUCUGGGUUGCCUUUGGGGUAUCAAAUGUUCCUGCACAUAUUUCCCUGAUCAAUUUAGACCCUAAUCCAUUGGAUCUGCUCUAGAACUGCCCCUGACAAGGAGCAGAUUUUAAUCAUUCUCAAUUUAACCUUCAGGGACUGCUUCAAAGACUUAAUUCCAAAUGUUUACUUAGGAAUAACUUAAAAAUCAUGUUGUCUUUUAAAACUAAUAGCACUCAAUUUUAACAUAGGAUUUAAAAAUUAUUUAAGUUAGCUAUCCAAAUGAAUGAAGAAUGUUCUAACUAAUCUUUCCAAGAUAUAGCCAUGGCUAAUUCCCUAAAAUGCCCUCAGAGAAGCUUAUAUAUACAUAUAUUUUAAUAUUUGCACAGAAUCUCCCUUUGAGAUCCAGGGGGAAGCUCCAGAAUAUACACAAAAGUUUUGUAGUAAGGUGACAAGAAUUUUACUAGGUCAGAAAAGAAUAGUGGUUUCAUAGUGAAAACUUGUUGGGUGGGGAGAUGGAAGGAACAUGGAAAAGGGCUGAGAAUAUGGCAAAGGGCUUUGGCAUUAGAAAGCAAAGUGUGUUAUCUUACAAUAAUUGCAGAGGACUCCCUUGCUGGCUGCUCUAAAGGUGCAUCAGCUCUCCUGGGCUACCCCCUUCUCGUCACAGUGGUUGCGGUAGUUAUAUCAGUAAGAAAGCUUGCAAUUGCAGUUUUUUUCAGUGCUACUGGGUACUCCAUGCCAGCAGGAGAGCUAACUUUGAUUAUGCUUUGAUGAAUUUUAUUUAGACAGAAGUCUGAGGAGAUCACAUUUCUGAAUUUGUCUUCAGUAAAAAAUAAUUUCUGGUGAGAUAUGACCUCACUGACUUCUCUCUUCACUAAACAGCUAAGGUUUUUAACUUCUCCAUGCAUGAGACUGAAAGACCAAGGGAGAUAUGAUACAAUGCUGGCUCUGACUACAGAAUAUACUGUAUACCUUCAAUAAGGCUCAGUCUACCUUUAGGUGAAACAAAUAUUUUUGGUUUAAAAAAAGUAAUAAAAAUUGGUUGGGAACUUGACCUGUGUAUCACCAAGAUCUAUGGGCUAUACAAAGCUUCCCAGGACUCAGCUUGGUUUAGUAGGAAGAGCACUGGAAUUAAAGGGUCUGUGACUGAAACCUGGCUCUGUCAUUGACUACCCCUUGUGAUCUUGAACAAGUCACUUCAUGUCUGGACCUUAGUUUCCUAAAUGAAUUAUAUAAUGUCACUUCCAGCUGUAAAUCUACAAUUUCAAGAUCCAUCAUAAUCCCUCAAGUUUUCAGUUUUAAGGCCUUUUUGAGUUCACAUGGUUGUCUGCCUUCCUGGUUACCUCAAAAGAGAUAGACCAUUGGAUUUGCAUCUACCCUCUACAUUCCAAUUUGUACUUAAGAUUGUUCAGUUAUUUUAGUUAAGACCAACUCUUUGUGACCCCAUUUAGGGUUUCUUUGUAAAAAAUACCAGAGUGGUUUACUAUAUCCUUCUCCAGCUCAUUUUACAGAUGAGGAAAUGGAGGCAAACAGGGUUAAGUAAAAUGUCCAGGGUCACAUAACUAAUUAAGUGUCUGAGGCCAGAUUUUAAAUUAGGAAGAUGAGCCUUCCUGACUUCAGGUCUGGAACUCUAUCCACUGUAACACCUAAACUGCCCCACAAAUUUGAGAUUAUCAGGGUAUUUUUUCCCCACUGAAAACCUAGGUGACAUACAUCUGAAGCAUCUGGGAAUAGAUCUAAUCAAAAUAUAUAGAUACUGCAGUAUUGUUUAAAUAAAGCCAAAAAUGUUUAGGCAGGAAUUAAGAUCUCUAGUAUAUCAACUUCACUUUUAAUUUAAAAAAAUUUUUGUUUUGAUUAACCUACUUGACUCUUGAGAACACAGUCACUUUCUUAUAACCUGUCAUCCCUUAUGAUAAUAUUUCUCACGUCGAAAGAUUAAGCAUUUGGUUUAUUAGAGGUUUAUUAGGCCUCACUAAAGAGAUAUAACUAAUUCUGGGAACUAAAGAACCCCAAAUCUUGAUGAUUCCCCAUGAAUUCUAUCUUUGAGCUGAUAGAUUAAAAAAAAAUUCUCAUCUCACCCAAUGAUGGCUAAUUUCUCACAUUACAUACACUUCUACAAUUCCCAUAGAAUAAACUCAUCUGUAGGACUGGCAGCUAGUAACUUCAUAUUGAGUGUCUUAAAACAAGUUAAAUACGUGACCAAUAAAAAAACGUGCCUCUUUUGACUAACAGUCAAAGCUGUUAGUUUAAAAUGGCAUAGAAAAUGUCUCUUCUGGAAUGUCUUUUUCAUCCCACAGUACUCUGAAACACCAUUUUAGGUUCUGGUAAUGAUAGUGGAAAAGAAGAGCUAUGAAUUGGGGAUUCUCUUAUUGUACAUCUUCAGUUUAGCCUAUUCUUGUCCUUGCUGCAGUGAGAUAAGAGACCUAGGGAGUGACCAGUCAAUAGGAAUCCAAGUGGUGAAGCCCUUUGUUUAGGGAGAGUUGCACUGUUGGUAUUAAAGGCUGCUCCUCCUCCUUCUUGCCUGAUAGAAAUACUGCCCUAGGUGUGCUUCAUGGAGAUGAAUAGCAUCUCCUCUAACCACAAGGAUGCAGCCUGUGCUGCUGCUGACAAAGCACCGGGCAUCUUGAAAAAUGUUUUUGGUCCCCUCAAGAGGUCAAGCACCAGAGCUUAUUAGUAGAGUCUCUUGCUUCUUAGAAGGGUGGAGAUUUUUAAAUAGGUUUAAAAAAAACAAACAAAAAAACUCCCCCAAACCAAUUUAAGUUCAUUUUAGUGUUAUUUAAAUUUACAUACUGAUCUGAUCAAAUAGCGUUCUGAAUCCCAGACUAACAGCAAAGUUACACAGAAUGAGAUUGUUUUGUGAAACAAGGAAACUAAACAAAAAACUAUAUAUAAAAAUGAUCAGAAGAAUAAUCCCUCCUUUGAUUACCAUUCCUAUGACAAACACAAGCCUGGGAAAUCAUGCAUUUAUGCUUCCUGGGGACUUACAAGGCAGGAUUGCUAUCUAUACAGAGAAAACCCAUUAGUCUACUGUAAUUUUUAUUUCUAUAAGCUAUCCGGGUGAGAGUGAAUGUUAAUAAUGUCACCUAAAAGUUUUAAUGCUACUUGAAUGAGCAAACUGAGAUGCAAAAGGACUCUACCAAGAAGUUCUAAUAAGGAGAAAUUGCUGUAGGCUUGAGGAAGGUGGAGACUUUGUUAUGUGCAACUCUGGUAGUUGUUUUCUCAUGGAGAUGAAUUUCUACUAGACCUAUGUGCCUAGAGCACUCUAUAAUAUGCUCCACAACCACAUUUGUAUUCAUGAAUCCUACCUUGCUUUGGCUCUCAUUUAUAUUCAUGAAUUCUACCUAGCUUCCACUUGGGUCAGCGCUACAGAAGACAUGAAGAAAGAUCGAUCUAAAUUUGACAGUAUCUGGAAGAAAGGAGUACCUUACCCAUGAAGGUACUUCUAGGUUUGCACUACAGCAUGCUAUGGAGUGCAAAACACAUUUUAAACUGCUUCUGUUGUACAGACUUCCACUUCUAUAAUAUAGCUAUUUAACUGAGGGAUUGUAGAAGGAGAUGACAAAACUUCAUGUUUACAAGUACAUUCAAAAAAGCUUUAUACAAAGUCAACAAACAACUGCAGGGCUGGAGAAGCCACAGGCAAUAUCUGUUUGGGAUUCAAAUCCAAUCUUAGAACUUCAGAUCAGCUAUAAAUAUAUACCUAUUCCUUAAGGGAGACUCACACGGCAGGGGAGGAGCUGCAUGCUACCUAAGACAGUGGCCUCCCCUUUACUGUGGUCUUCUCUGAAUUUAGACAUCAUCUUCAUUUUGCUACAUAGCUUUGACUAGAAAAAACACUAAAAAUACAUAUUAAAACUCUUACUCCUGUUAGGGUCCACCAGACCUAAUUUACAAAUGUUCUGCCCUUUAAUUUUCCCUGAGGAAAUGAGUACUAUUUACAUUAUUUUGCAACUAUUACCAAGGUAUUCUACUUUAUAUUAAAAGCGAGAGGAGGGUGAAUAACACUUGCCCUACUGCUCUCAUAGGAUUAAAUGAGACUGUGUGUAAAGUGCUUUGUAAAUGGUAAAGCACUGUCUAAAAGCGAGCUAUUAUUAUAUACAAUUUUAGUCACUUCUCAGGCUAGAUGAAUGCUGCAUUUUCCCCUUUCCAUUGAAGCCUUUGAGAGGAAAAAAAAAUUAAAACAUUUGCAGCAC
ensembl:lncRNA